rnacentral:rRNA from 1 species
UACGUAGGGGGCAAGCGUUAUCCGGAUUUACUGGGUGUAAAGGGAGCGUAGACGGCUUUACGAGCCAGAUGUGAAAGCCCGGGGCUCAACCCCGGGACUGCAUUUGGAACUGUGUGGCUAGAGUGUCGGAGAGGCAGGCGGAAUUCCUAGUGUAGCGGUGAAAUGCGUAGAUAUUAGGAGGAACACCAGUGGCGAAGGCGGCCUGCUGGACGAUGACUGACGUUGAGGCUCGAAAGCGUGGGGAGCAAACAGG